GGGGCCUUAGCUCAGUUGGUAGAGCGCUGCCUUUGCAAGGCAGAUGUCAGGAGUUCGAAUCUCCUAGGCUCCACAG
rnacentral:tRNA from 1 species